UGGAUCCGGCAGGCACCCGGGAAGGGGCUCGAAUACGUCGCGGGUAUUGACGAUGAUGGUACACAUACUACGCGCCGGCGGUGAAGGGACGCUUCACCCUCUCCAGGAACAACGGGCAGAGCACGGCCACCCUGCAGAUGAACAGCCUCAAGGCCGAAGACACCGCCACCUACUACUGCGC